CUCUUUUGCUCAAGUCCCAAUGUGUCUGCACAGUGGUCUCAGUUCGUCUUUAGUGCUCUUCAUUUCUUCUUUGUUUGUAUGCCUUCGCUGAUACCACGUGUUUACUGAAGCUUGCGCUUUUUGGUGGAGAAUGGUCAAGAUCAAGACAAUCAGCCGCUCCGAGUUGGAGUGGACAAAAGAUCGCGCGACGGAGGUGCCCAAGGUCAAUCGAAAUUAUGAUCCGAAGUUUAAUCCCAUGGCAAAACAGGUAGAGUUCACACGGGCGGUGGUUGCUGCCAAAAUGGACCGUAUGUUUGCAAAGCCUUUUGUAGCUGCGCUCUCGGGCCACCAGGAUACCAUUCAGUCGAUCGCUACUGAUAUUACAAGCCUGUCCACCGUAGCCACGGGCUCUGUUGACGGCGGGCUAAUAGUAUGGGAUGCGAUGACGCGGAAGCAGCGUGCGGUCAUCAACGCACAUCGACACUCUGUCGACGGCGUGGCCAUCUCGCCAGAUGGCGUCGCUUGCUUUAGCGCUUCGCGUGACAAAACAGUGAAGAUGUGGGAUUUGGACUUCGACCCUGGUGAAGAGAGUAUUGAGCCGGUGGCAGAGUUUCUCGGUGAGUUUCCCUUCUCCUCCAUCGAUCACCAUUUCCACAAGUCGUGGUUCGCCACGUCGUCGGACGUGGUGAACAUCUGGGAUGUCAAUCGCACGCAGCCCCUCCAGCGGUUUUCUUGGGGGGACGACACGGUGUCUUCCUGCCAGUUUAACAAGAUUGAGACCAAUUUAGUCGCAUGCUGCAUGGCAGAUCGCGGUGUCUUCCUGUACGACGUUCGCAGUCAGUCCGCCCACAGCAAGAUUGUGAUGGAGAUGUGUUCAACAUCACUUUCGUGGAACCCGAUGGACCCGAACGUGUUCGUGACGGGAAGCGACGACCGCAACUGCUACUUAUUCGACAUACGCGUGCCUGGACGUCCGCGCAAUGUCUUCCAGGGUCACAUCCGUCCUGUCACAUGUGUCGACUUUAGUCCGACUGGCACCAUGUUUGCCGCCGGAUCGCAAGACGCCUCGUUGCGCAUUUGGGACCUGCACCAGACAUCCAAGUCUGACUCGAUUGAGAUGUUCCACACGAAGCGGAUGGCCGGCGUGUACGCGGUGAAGUGGUCUCCCGAUAACAGCUACAUUUACAGCGGGAGCGAAGAUGCGGUGCUGCGUGUGUGGAAGUCCGACGCCAGCAAGCCGAUUCGUCCACUACGCGGCCCAGAGAAGCACAAGUUCAACUAUAUGCGCUCUUUGAAGAGUAAGUACUCCAACUUCGUCGAGGUGAAGCGAAUUAGCAACCAGCGCAAUGCACCCAAGGCAAUUCUGCGCACUUCACGCCGUAUCAAGAAGGCCGAGAAGCGCGAGGCAGUGAAAGAGAUGUCGCGCAUUCACGGCGACAACGUGAAGCCGCUGGCGAAGCGCAAGACCUACGGCUACGUGGAGUAGCCAAUCCGUGGAGCCCGACACUGGCACACAUUACGCUCCCCUACGUGAUCGAAUUUUGGCUUGCUUUCACAGUUCGCGGCCUGUCACGUUGCUCGCUGUCUGGGGGCUCAACAGCUUACUCUUGUGAUCAUGUGUAUGCAUAGGUGACGGGGUUUAUUCGCUAAACAAAAAAAGAAUGAUUCUUUGGCGUGACCUCCUAAUGCAGCAUCGCCUUCACGGUUUGCGCAAAUAUCUCUUUACUCCUAACCUUGCCUUUUUUUCGCUUAAGUGUCUGAAGUGUCCUUCCACUUUCUUUGUCUUGUCACUUAGUGGCCCACGUCUUCCUGUUCAACACACCAGAAUCUUUUUACUUUCUGGCCCGUUUUCCUCGCUUGCUGAUGCGCCCUGCAACCCUCUGCAGUUGAACUGUUC
rnacentral:misc_RNA from 1 species